rnacentral:rRNA from 1 species
CCUACGGGGGGCAGCAGUGGGGAAUAUUGGACAAUGGGCGAAAGCCUGAUCCAGCCAUGCCGCGUGUGUGAAGAAGGCCUUCGGGUUGUAAAGCACUUUCAGUGGGGAAGAAAGCCUUGGGGCUAAUACCCUCGAGGAAGGACAUCACCCACAGAAGAAGCACCGGCUAACUCCGUGCCAGCAGCCGCGGUAAUACGGAGGGUGCGAGCGUUAAUCGGAAUUACUGGGCGUAAAGCGCGCGUAGGCGGUCUGAUAAGCCGGUUGUGAAAGCCCCGGGCUCAACCUGGGAACGGCAUCCGGAACUGUCAGGCUAGAGUGUAGGAGAGGGAGGUAGAAUUCCCGGUGUAGCGGUGAAAUGCGUAGAGAUCGGGAGGAAUACCAGUGGCGAAGGCGGCCUUCUGGACUGACACUGACGCUGAGGUGCGAAAGCGUGGGUAGCAAACAGGAUUAGAUACCCUAGUAGUC